UCGUAAACCGUAGAAGAGGGAAGUGAGAAUUUUUUUUAAAAAUAUUCAUAUUUUCAAAAUGAAAGUUGUUAUCAACACAUAUGGAGGAAAUUCGAAAUCAUGUUCCACAGUAAGAAAACCUUCGAAAUCAUGUUCCACAGUAAAAAAACCUUCGAAACCAUGCACUAAAGUACAAACAAAAUGUACUGCAGGACGAGGAGCAGUUGCAUAUGGAUCGAAACCUAAACUUCAGAAGGAAACAUACGUAAGACAAACUGUUGUGAUAACACGAGAAUAUAGCACGAGUAAGAAACCAAAAAGUGCCGGAAAGAAAAAGUAAAAAUUUCAUGGCGAUUUGUGUUAAUAAUUUCAAAUUGUUAAAUAUAGUAUCCCAUAAAUAAAGUUUUUUUUUAUGCAAAUACAUAAUACCAAUAAA